rnacentral:rRNA from 1 species
GAUGAACGCUGGCGGCGUGCUUAACACAUGCAAGUCGAACGAGGUCCAACCUUCGGGUGAAGACCUAGUGGCGAACGGGUGAGUAACACGUGGGGAACCUGCCCUUCUCUCUGGGAUAACGUCGAGAAAUCGGUGCUAAUACCGGAUACUCCUUGCGGAUCGCAUGGUCUGCUCGGGAAAGCUCCGGCGGAGAAGGAUGGCCCCGCGGCCCAUUAGCUAGUUGGUGAGGUAAUGGCCCACCAAGGCGACGAUGGAUAGCCGAGCUGAGAGGCUGAACAGGCACAGUGUGACUGAGACACGGCCCAGACUCCUACGCGAGGCAGCAGUGGGAAAUUUUGCACAAUGGGCGAAAGCCUGAUACAGCAACGCCGCGUGCGGGAUGAAGGCCCUCGGGUCGUAAACCGCUUUCAGCAGGGAUGAAAUUGACAGUACCUGCAGAAGAAGCCCCGGCUAACUACGUGCCAGCCGCCGCCGUAACAC